UCAGCAACAUGAUAAUGUCGAAAUAAGUCAUUAAAACAGAACCUUGCGGGGCGUCCUCCUGACCUCCUUGGUGGAGAAACGAGCAAAACAAAAAAUAAAAAAGAAGAAAAGAAAAGAAAAGAAAAGAAAAAGAAAAGAAAAAGAAAAGAAAAAGAAAAAG
rnacentral:sRNA from 1 species